GAUGAACGCUGGCGGCGUGCCUAAUACAUGCAAGUCGAGCGAACGGACGAGAAGCUUGCUUCUCUGAUGUUAGCGGCGGACGGGUGAGUAACACGUGGAUAACCUACCUAUAAGACUGGGAUAACUUCGGGAAACCGGAGCUAAUACCGGAUAAUAUUUUGAACCGCAUGGUUCAAACGUGAAAGACGGUCUUGCUGUCACUUAUAGAUGGAUCCGCGCUGCAUUAGCUAGUUGGUAAGGUAACGGCUUACCAAGGCAACGAUGCAUAGCCGACCUGAGAGGGUGAUCGGCCACACUGGAACUGAGACACGGUCCAGACUCCUACGGGAGGCAGCAGUAGGGAAUCUUCCGCAAUGGGCGAAAGCCUGACGGAGCAACGCCGCGUGAGUGAUGAAGGUCUUCGGAUCGUAAAACUCUGUUAUUAGGGAAGAACAUAUGUGUAAGUAACUGUGCACAUCGUGACGGUACCUAAUCAGAAAGCCACGGCUAACUACGUG
rnacentral:rRNA from 1 species